GUGAAUCAUCAAAUUUUUGAACGCAAAUUGCACUCUCUUCGGAGAGUAGGCCUGUUUGAGUGUCAGCCUAAAUAAAAUCUACAUAGUUCUUGCUUCGCGGUGACAUUCGUCGGUAAUUGGUUUAGAUUUAACCGUUGGGUUUUAUAAGGCUUAAAAUUUUGAAUUGUAUUCCACGAACGCUUCUAAGACUUACUUCUUAUAUGUUUAU
rnacentral:misc_RNA from 1 species